rnacentral:rRNA from 1 species
GACGAACGCUGGCGGCGUGCCUAAUACAUGCAAGUCGAGCGCAGGAAACUGACGGGACUCUUCGGAGGGAAGGCAGUGGAAUGAGCGGCGGACGGGUGAGUAACACGUAAGGAACCUACCUCAAGGAUUGGGAUAACUCCGAGAAAUCGGAGCUAAUACCGGAUAGUUCAACGGACCGCAUGGUCCGCUGAUGAAAGGCGCUCCGGCGUCACCUUGAGAUGGCCUUGCGGUGCAUUAGCUAGUUGGUGGGGUAACGGCCCACCAAGGCGACGAUGCAUAGCCGACCUGAGAGGGUGAUCGGCCACACUGGGACUGAGACACGGCCCAGACUCCUACGGGAGGCAGCAGUAGGGAAUCUUCCACAAUGGACGAAGGUCUGAUGGAGCAACGCCGCGUGAGUGAUGAAGGUUUUCGGAUCGUAAAACUCUGUUGUAAGGGAAGAACACGUACGAGAGGAAAUGCUCGUACCUUGACGGUACCUUACGAGAAAGCCACGGCUAACUACGUGCCAGCAGCCGCCGUAAAAC